CCCCCACAAGUAUUUUAUCAGACAUUUUUCUCUCGCCCUAGCUUUUCUCUCUGCAACAGAAGACGAACAGCUUCCUUCCUCCAUCUAUGAAGAGACAUUGAUAGGGAGGAGUUUAAUAAAGUCAUGGCUUUGAUGAAUCUCAAAGCAAACAAAACCAGGAUGGCCACAGGGUCAAAGUUUCUGUAGAAGACGGAGGCCUACUUGAGCACUUCUUUGGCAAAGAUGGCAAAAAAAGUCUCACACACAGAGGCGGACCUACUAAGGCACAAAGCGGUGCAGCUGCUCCUUCUCUCGCCGGAAAAACCAUUCUAGGCGCUUGAAAUUGCCCCUUUGCUCAACUGGUGUACAGAUUACCUUAUUUCCAUCUUCAACAUUUAAGUGUGAAGUUUGGUGUCGUUAUGACUACAUUUUAAUACAUAAUUUUUUUUGGGGCUUCCCAUGAGCCGAGGCCUAGGGCGGUUGCACCUUCAAUCAUGGCUUAGGCCAGCUCUGAACACGAGCAAACCUGUUCGUUUAAUUCUUGCCAUUUUAUCUUCAUGUGACAAUCGGAGAUGCUAUUUAUAAUUACAAACUAUGAAUUAAAAGCGUUAGUUAUGCAGAUUUAUGUGUAAAUACAAUUUUUUAUUUAUUAGAAUCAGAUAAUAUGUCAAAGUCGAUUGCCUACUA